GAGGAGCAGCGCGGUGUGCGCACGCACGCACAUGCGCACCCAGUAAUGAAAAUUACUAACUACAAAAAACACUUUAUUCUACAUCAAUCCUUAAAAACAACUUAAAAACACUGCCUACCUGCAACGUCUCAUGAGCCCACACCCUGUCACGGCAAAUCCUGCAGGACAUCGAGUGUGGCCAUAUGGCGUCGAACCCCACGCCCAAACAAUCCCACUUCAAUCUUUUGCGCUCCUAAAAGUUGUGUGGCCCUGUUAUAAAAAUAUACACCACACGUCGGUACACACAAGACUGUUUCAAACAAUUUAAAAACAAUUCUCCGACUUACCACGAUCGCACACCCGGAGCAUGUAAUGCCAAACAACCACCUGGCUGUCCACUGGAAACUGGCACCUCCCAACAACACCGCCAGCUUCCCUUUUAUUGAGGCUUAAGCCAGGGAAAAUGCAACGCCUUGUGGUACCACCUGUUACAUAUGUGUGUGUGUUCUGGUGGAAUUUCAGGAAGAGAACAACAAAAAAAAAGCACGCUAUUAUAAAGGAGCCUGCAGGGAGGCAGCCAGAUACACUGGCGCCCUGGUUGCCAUUUCCACAGUAGGGCUGGCUGCUCUGUGAGUGUACACACACACACACACGGAGACACACACACAAAUAAGUUUCCUGGUUUUUUUGGGUUUUUUUCUUGUGCUUAUAUCUAUCUUUUAUUUCUGAUUUUUUUCAGUGCCAUCAAAAAGAGAAACAUUUUUAUCCUGGGACCCAUAAUCCCACAAUUGUUCAUACUAACAGCACAAAUAGACUACGGAUAUGGCACCAUGGCUGAGAGGAUUAACAGGCAGGCAGAAACUGUCCAGAAGGAGGAAAAAAAAAAAAACACCCCAAAAUAAGUAACACCAUGAACAAGCAGGCAGGAUGGUGGAGCCUCCAAAGUUCCGUUUCAAGGACAGCAUCCAGCUGAUUUUGAUUUCAUUGCUUUGUUGAUGCUCAAAUUACGACAGAGUAUUAAGGCCACAUUGAAAAAAAAAAUAAAAAUGCAUUUCGAGAAUAAAGUCGAAAUUUCGAGAAUAAAGUCGCAAUUUCGAGAAAAAAGUCAAAAUACUAU